UAAGGUGUGGCCCAAAUUUAAGGCGUUUAACUGUUAAUUAAAAGAUGCAUCGUAUUGCCUCCUUAA
rnacentral:tRNA from 1 species